rnacentral:rRNA from 1 species
AAACCAACAGGGAUUGCCUUAGUAGCGGCGAGUGAAGCGGCAAAAGCCUCAAAUUUGAAAUCUGGCUCUUUCAGAGUCCGAGUUGUAAUUUGAAGAAGGUAUCUUUGGGUCUGGCUCUUGUCUAUGUUUCUUGGAACAGAACGUCACAGAGGGUGAGAAUCCCGUGCGAUGAGAUGAUCCAGGCCUAUGUAAAGUUCCUUCGAAGAGUCGAGUUGUUUGGGAAUGCAGCUCUAAGUGGGUGGUAAAUUCCAUCUAAAGCUAAAUAUUGGCGAGAGACCGAUAGCGAACAAGUACAGUGAUGGAAAGAUGAAAAGAACUUUGAAAAGAGAGUGAAAAAGUACGUGAAAUUGUUGAAAGGGAAGGGCUUGAGAUCAGACUUGGUAUUUUGUAUGUUACUUCUUCGGGGGUGGCCUCUACAGUUUAUCGGGCCAGCAUCAGUUUGGGCGGUAGGAGAAUUGCGUUGGAAUGUGGCACGGCUUCGGUUGUGUGUUAUAGCCUUCGUCGAUACUGCCAGCCUAGACUGAGGACUGCGGUUUAUACCUAGGAUGUUGGCAUAAUGAUCUUAAGUCGCCCG